GGUGGGGUCUGCGACUGCACCCGCUAUCCCAGGCUGUGUGCAUCCACCUGUGUGGUCACCGAGUGCCUGUCAGCAUGUGCGCCUGUGCUUGCGUGUGGGUCCCCAUGGUGGCACCCGUGCCCGUAGUCAUUCGGCCACAUGUGCUUUUCCCCGUGCUCCCCAGCCUGGAAGAGCAACACCUCUCAACCUGAAGCUCAGGCCCAGACUUGCAAUUGGGCUUAACUUCUCUCUUUCACUCACAUUCCACAUCCAUCCACGAGCAAAGCCUUGUGAGCUCCUCCAAAGAGACCCCGAAUCUGACCUGUGUCACCAUCUUACUGGCCAAGCCACCAUGAUGUCCGCCUGGAUCACUGUGGUAGCACAUCACUGUGGUAGCCUCCAAGCUGUUCUGCUUUCUCUACCUUUUUCCAUCCUCCUGAUGGUCCAGUAGGAGUCAGAGCCCUCUCUUAAGACCCUAUUCUAAAUCAAAUCAUGUCUGACCCUGCUUUCAACCUCCAGGGCUUCCUGCCAUUCUUUUUUUUUCAACAUUCCAGAUUGCUACCACAGCCCACAAGGUCCCUUUCUGAUGGGACCUUGGACACCUGUCCCUUUGGCCACAUAACUCCAGACCUACUGUACUCUUAUUCCUCACCUAAGCCCAGAAUGCUUACUCCUCAGGACCUCUGCAUUUGCUGGUCCCCUCUGUCUGGAAUGGUCUUCCUCCCAGAUGUUUGCGUGGUUUGAACCUCAGUUAAAUUCAAGUCGUUGCUUCAAAUGUUACCUCUUUGGAGAAACCAUCUGUGACCAUCUAAUAAAGAGUCUUCCUAGUUCUAG